UGCAGCACCGGUAGCAGACAUCCACUGGGGUGGCGGGCUGAAGGAGGUACAAGUCGUGCAUUUAUUUAUAAAGUAAUCAAAACUGUUGCUAUUAUUAUUAUUCCACGCUCUUCUUAUCGCUGCGCUGCCCUCGACUAACAACGAGUCGAAAGCGGGCGCUGAACAGCGGCGGGCAGUUGCAAUAUUGCAACAAACUGUUGCUAAGUUGCUAUUUGGCGAGCGUGCGAAAUUUUUCGAAGUGUUCGCGGUACUCAAUCGUGAAAGCUUAAGUCUCGAACCCGCAGGACUGAACACAAGCACCCAAUACCAGCUCAAUGUCCGCGUUCAGAGAAAUCACCACAAUUACAAUUUGCACUUGGCUAAUUGUUAUAAAUAAUUACACAUGACUGAGGCACUACACCAUUAAAGCCAAGUUUCAUUACACAAGUUUGGGGAACAUUUAAACUACGGGGCGCUCUGGCACUUUGGUUCGAUACUUGCCUCCCCAGAAUCAAAUCUAAAAGUUCCACGUAUCUUCUUCGGUGAACUUAGAAUUGAUUCUAACUGAAAUUAGUCCUAUCAACCAAGGUCGAAACGUGACAGUAGUCCGAUUAAUGCAGAACUGGUUCACCACCAUUAAGGCGAAGUACAGUUGCUCCGUGUGAUGAAAGUGAAUUUGAUUUCGAUCUCCCCAUGUACAUUCACCGCCAGUAUGAAUGAUUCUGAGCAAUCCUUUCGAGCGAGGUUGAACUUGAUUUCGAAUUACUUAUAUUGGUAUAUACUAUUUAGGAUUUAAAAAAAAAACAGGAAAAGGUUUCUGAGCAAACGGCAACCUACAAGCGAGGGUUUAACUCCUGAUGCGAAAGUGCUUCGCAGGUCUUUC